GCGGAGGAAAAGAAACCAACAGGGAUUGCCCUAGUAACGGCGAGUGAAGCGGCAACAGCUCAAAUUUGAAAUCUGGCCUCCUUUGGGGGUCCGAGUUGUAAUUUGCAGAGGGCGCUUUGGCGUCGGUAGCGGUCUAAGUUCCUUGGAACAGGACGUCACAGAGGGUGAGAAUCCCGUACGUGGUCGCCUACCUUCGCCGUGUAAAGCCCCUUCGACGAGUCGAGUUGUUUGGGAAUGCAGCUCUAAAUGGGAGGUAAAUUUCUUCUAAAGCUAAAUACUGGCCAGAGACCGAUAGCGCACAAGUAGAGUGAUCGAAAGAUGAAAAGCACUUUGGAAAGAGAGUCAAACAGCACGUGAAAUUGUUGAAAGGGAAGCGCUUGCCGCCAGACGUGCCCGUGGUGGUUUUCCUCCGCGGGCAGGCCAGCAUCAGUUUGGGCGAUCGGAGAAGGGCCUCUGUCAUGUAUCUUCCUUCGGGAUGACCUUAUAGGGGAGGCGUAGUACGAUCAGCCCGGACUGAGGUCCGCGCAUCUGCU
rnacentral:rRNA from 1 species